rnacentral:rRNA from 1 species
GGGUGAGUAACGCGUAUGCAACCUGCCCGUUUCAGCGGGAUAACCCGGAGAAAUCCGGCCUAAUACCGCAUGUGGCCGAGGGAAGGCAUCUUCUUUCGGCCAAAGGAGGCGACUCCGGAGACGGAUGGGCAUGCGUGACAUUAGCUUGUUGGCGGGGUAACGGCCCACCAAGGCGACGAUGUCUAGGGGUUCUGAGAGGAAGGUCCCCCACACUGGUACUGAGACACGGACCACACUCAAACGGGAGGCAGCAGUGAGGAAUAUUGGUCAAUGGGCGAGAGCCUGAACCAGCCAAGUCGCGUGAAGGAUGACGGCCCUACGGGUUGUAAACUUCUUUUGUCAGGGAGCAAUUGGGUCCACGCGUGGGCUUAGCGAGAGUACCUGAAGAAAAAGCAUCGGCUAACUCCGUGCCAGCAGCCGCGGUAAUACGGAGGAUGCGAGCGUUAUCCGGAUUUAUUGGGUUUAAAGUGUGCGUAGGCGGAAUAUCAAGUCAGCGGUAAAAAUUCGGGGCUCAACCCCGUCGUGCCGUUGAAACUGAUGUUCUUGAGUGGGCGAGAAGUAUGCGGAAUGCGUGGUGUAGCGGUGGAAUGCAUAGAUAUCACGCACAACUCCGAUUGCGAAGGCAGCAUACCGGCGCCCAACUGACGCUGAAGCACGAAAGCGUGAGUAUCGAACAGGAUUAGAUACCCUGGUAGUCCACGCAGUAAACGAUGAAUGCUAAUUGUCCGGAGGGAUUGACCUCUGGGUGAUACAGCGAAAGCGUUAAGUAUUCCACCUGGGGAGUACGCC